CAGCCGCCGCGGUAAUACGUAGGUGGCAAGCGUUGUCCGGAAUUAUUGGGCGUAAAGCGCGCGCAGGCGGAUAGGUCAGUCUGUCUUAAAAGUUCGGGGCUUAACCCCGUGAUGGGAUGGAAACUGCCAAUCUAGAGUAUCGGAGAGGAAAGUGGAAUUCCUAGUGUAGCGGUGAAAUGCGUAGAUAUUAGGAAGAACACCAGUGGCGAAGGCGACUUUCUGGACGAAAACUGACGCUGAGGCACGAAAGCCAGGGGAGCGAACGGGAUUAGAUACCCCCGUAGUCCCUGUCUCUUAUACA
rnacentral:rRNA from 1 species